rnacentral:rRNA from 1 species
AUGGCAUUCGCGUUCUUGCCGGAACUGCUCAUCUCCAUACUUGUGCUACUUGUAGUCGUUCUAGGUUUGUACUACAUAAAGUCUAGUAAGAAUCCACUGUUGCCAGUGGACUGGCCAGUAGUGGGCAUCCUCCCUUCCCUAGCCAUCAACCUCCACAGACUGCAUCAGUAUAUCGCCUUUGACCUCCUAUCACGGUCCGGCCACAGCCUAAAGUUUGCCAUAGCUAGCAUACAGAUAUUCCUAACCUGCGACCCGGUGAAUAUCCAACACAUUUUCACCUUGAAUCACACAAACUAUCCCAAGGGUGAGGAGUUCGCCGAUAUCUUUGAUGUGGCAAGGGGCUCACUCUUCACUGUCGACGGCGAGCCCUGUCGUCGUGAGCGCACAAAUUACCAAGGUGUGUUGAGCAGCCCACGGGUGGUCGGGCUAAUGAACACGUGUUGUCGUGAUAAGGUGGAGAAGGGCCUUCUGCCCUUCAUGGCCCACAUGGCGUUAACAAAUGCUCAUGUCGACAUGAAUGAUCUCAUUAUGAGGCUCGUGUUUGACAUGUAUGCCAUGACCAUCUUCGGUGUGGACACGGCUUUCUUGUCCCUUGACAUGCCGCCGGUGCACGUCGCGGAUGCGAUGGACACGGUCAUGGAGGUGGCCUUCAUCCGACACAUUGUGCCAGUAUUUUUCUGGAAGGUGAUGAGGCGCUUGGACAUUGGUCCAGAGAGGAAGCUUGCCGCCGCGCAAGCGCUGCUUCGCUGCUUCACAAUGGACAUGAUCAUGAAGAGGAGGGGGAACGACCAUGGUAUUGUUCAAGAGGUACCCGUAGACAUUCUGUCCAAUUAUGUCAAUGACCCAAGAUACAAUGAUGAUUUACUCCAGGCAACUCUCAUUACCUACAUGAUCUCCGGGAGGGACACGAUCGGUACUACCUUGUCGUGGGUCAUCUACAACCUCGCCAAGAACCCGCACGUCGUGUCGAGCAUACAUGAUGAACUAGCACCCAUCAUAUCCCGCAAACCAUCCAUUGCAGGAGCCACCAUGACGAUGUUGGAUCUAGAUGAUGUCAAAGCCCUAGUUUAUUUGCAAGCCACCCUAUUGGAGACACUCAGGUUGUACCCGCCGAUCCCUAUCGAGCGCAAGUCUGUUGUCACCACCGAUGUAAUGCCAAGUGGCCAUGAGGUGUGUGCCCGGGACAUCGUCCUCGUCUCCAUCUACUCCAUCGGAAGGAUGGAGUCUGUCUGGGGAGCUAACUGCCGGGAGUAUAGGCCAGAGAGGUGGCUCUCAGAGGAUGGACGCCAGCUGCGACACGUGCCCUCUCACAAGUUUUUGGCUUUUAACUCGGGCCCAAGAUUAUGCCUUGGCAGGGAUAUUGCAAUCAUGCAGAUGAAGAUCAUCGUUGCUGCUAUCGUGUGGAACUUUGAUGUGAAAGUGUUAGAUGGUCAAACCAUCGAGACAAAGUUGUCUUGUCUUCUGCAAAUGAAGAAUGGCCUGAAGGUUAAGCUGAAUAAGCGGGAAAUGUAA